GAUGAGGACAGAAGCACGACGAAAAAAUCUUCUCAUUUUGAUUUCACAUUAUUUAACACAAGAAGGAUAUAUCGAUACAGCAAAUGCUUUGGAGCAAGAAACUAAACUGGGGUUGCGACGCUUUGAAGUUUGUGACAACAUUGAUCUUGAAACUAUUUUGAAGGAAUAUGAGAGUUACUAUUUUGUAAAAUUUCAGAAAUACCCCAAAAUUGUCAAAAAGUCAUCAGACACAGAAAAUAAUUUACCACAAAGAAGUGGAGGGAAGACCAGAAGGGUGAUGAACGACAGUUGCCAAAAUCUUCCCAAGAUUAAUCAGCAGAGGCCCUGGUCCAAAACCACGGUGGGGAAGACAGGGGACACCAAAUCUCUCAAUAAGGAGCAUCCUAAUCAGGAGGUAGUUAAUAACACUCGCCUGGAGAGUGCCAACUUCGGCCUAAAUAUAUCAAGAAUCAGUAAAGACAGUGGAGAGGAAAAUGCCCACCCACAAAGAGGCCAAAUCAUUGACUUCCGAGGGCUGCUCACAGAUGCCAUCAAGGGAGCGACCAGUGAACUUGCCUUGAACACCUUCGACCAUAAUCCAGACCCCUCAGAACGACUGCUGAAACCUCUGAGUGCAUUUAUUGGCAUGAACAGUGAGAUGCGAGAAUUGGCAGCGGUGGUGAGCCGGUAUCCACAGCUAUUUACAGGAAUUCUUUCCCCCUGGAAAGGACUACUGCUGUACGGCCCUCCAGGUACAGGAAAGACUUUACUGGCCAAAGCUGUGGCCACUGAAUGUAAAACAACCUUCUUUAACAUUUCUGCAUCCACCAUUGUCAGCAAAUGGAGAGGGGAUUCAGAAAAACUCAUUCGGGUGUUAUUUGAACUUGCCCGCUACCACGCCCCAUCCACGAUCUUCCUGGACGAGCUGGAGUCGGUGAUGAGUCAGAGAGGCACAGCUCCUGGGGGAGAACAUGAAGGAAGCUUGCGGAUGAAGACAGAGUUACUGGUGCAGAUGGAUGGGCUGGCACGCUCAGAAGAUCUUGUGUUUGUCUUAGCAGCUUCUAACCUGCCGUGUUUGAAAGCCAUUGCACUCCAGCCUGGCGACAGAGCGAGACUCCGUCUAAAAAAAAAUAAUAAUAAAAAUAAAAAAAGAAGUGUAUUAGUCCAUUUUCAUGCUGCUGGUGAAGACAUACCCAAGACUGGGAAGAAAAAAAUUAAUUGGACUUACAGUUUCACAUGGAUGGGAAGCCUCAGAAUCACGGCAGGGGGCAAAAGGCACUUCUUACAUGGUGGCAGCAAGAAAAAAUGAGGAAGAUGCAAACAGCGGAACCCCCUGAUAAAACCAUCAGAUCUCGUGAGACUUAUUCACUACCAUGAGAAGAGCAUGCAUGGGGGAAAUUGCCCCCAUGAUUCAAAUUAUCUCCCACUGGGUCCCUCCCACAACAUGUGAGAACUAUGCAAUUACAAUUUAAGAUGAGAUUUGGGUGGGGACACAGAGCCAAACCAUAUCAAGAAGUUUAAGGAUAUGGCCUGCAGAUGCAAAAUCACAUAAACUUGGCCUGACAGUUUGGGGAGUAGUAAAAGGAGCUGGACUGUGCCAUGUUGCGCCGCCUGGAGAAGAGGAUUCUGGUUGAUCUCCCCAGCCAGGAGGCCAGGCAGGCCAUGAUCUACCACUGGCUGCCUCCUGUGAGCAAGAGCAGGGCCUUGGAGCUGCGCACAGAGCUGGAGUACAGUGUGCUGAGCCAGGAGACUGAGGGCUACUCAGGCUCAGACAUUAAGCUCGUCUGCAGGGAAGCAGCCAUGCGGCCUGUGAGGAAGAUCUUUGAUGCACUUGAAAAUCACCAGUCAGAAAGCAGCGACUUACCGGGGAUCCAGUUGGAUACAAUAACCACUGCCGACUUUCUGGAUGUGCUAACUCACACCAAGCCCUCCGCAAAGAAUCUGGCUCCGAGAUACUCAGCCUGGCAAAGAGAAUUCGAGUCUGUUUGAAACCACAUUUACCCUGACCCGGCCACAAAGGUCUCCUAAUUUAUUAGUGUCCGUGGGAGAAGAACAAAAUGAUUGGAAUGGAAAAGAGAAAAUUAUUCUUGAAGACUGAAUUAACUUGAGCCACUGUAUUGUUUGGAUAGCUGAGAUAUAUUUAUUAACUUAUCAUUACUGAUGUCAGCAAAAUACUGAGGGUUUCAGUUACAUACAUAUAUGUGCUAAUAGGUCAUACAAUGGAGAUUUUUCUGACAAUUAGACUCCAUAAAAUUUUAAUGAACAAUUUUCUGUAAUGUUACUCAUUUGUAAACUUUUGCAGAAAAAGAUGUGCUUAGAAACGUUGUGUUGGCCAGGCACAGGAUGACCCUGAGUUGGGGCAGCCAAGCAGAAGCUAAGCUUGACAGGCACUGCCAAGCGGACAGUCCCAGGGUGAAGAAGGAUGAGGGCAGGGACUGCAAUGCAGUCUGUUUCUCAUUCUGGACAAUAUUCUGUAUCUCAUCAGCUCUCCCUAAUUCUGACUCCAUCCAGCUUUGUCAGCAGCAAACCCCUCCCAAACUAAGCCCCACUCAGAAAUGUCACUGAGCAUUCUGAUCCUAGAGCUAAUAGCCGGAGUGACUAGCACACCAUCACCAUCAGCUGCCAGUAUGACUGUUUUGGGUUCUGGCCCCCAGUAACAUCUUUUAACUCUUCACAUCUCACAUCCGCUGUGCUCUGCCCUUCUCUUUCCAUUGCCACAGCUUCUCAUCAGAACCAAAGCUUAGGAUGGGGCACCUGAGCUUCGAGAAUAUUCGUUCCAAGUCUUCCCUGCUCUUAGGCUCUUCCCCCUCUCCUUAAGGGGCUAUAAAUAGCUAGAAGCAUCUCUCUCAGAAACUCACAAUCCGAGGCAUCUACUUUGAACCCUUGAUAAAUUUUGAAGGCUUCCACUAAGUAAUGCGACUUCUUUUCCCCUACUAGAACUUACCUAUGGGAAAUCACCUUCUUUUCUCUUCCUUGCCUUGUUUUCAUCAUCCCUGCAGACAGACUCUUCAAGAGGAAAAACUUCCAAAAAGAGACACUUUGGAUAGCUAAGUAUCCCAAAGGAUUUUUACCCUUUUAAACAAAACUAAAGCAUGUUUUGGGGUAUUGAUUAUUUUGAGAUUAUUCUCAAACGCCUCUUUAAACAUCAUUUCAUGGAAAAUGUCAAAUUGAAAAUAUACCUUAUUUAACAAAUUGAAAAUAAAAAAGAUUUCAUCUCA